AUAAUUAACCUACUAGGGAAGGUACCAUGAUCAGGAGAAGGUUUUCCUAGGGCAAGGCUUAUCCAUUGUGCUCUGGAUGUGCUGACCCUUUUGGUUUCCUCAAAUGUGGGAAACUUGAUGGCAUAAUUUGUGGUAGUGGGGGGAUUGCGUUCAUGUUCUUUCUCG
rnacentral:snRNA from 1 species